UGGGGAAUAUUGCACAAUGGGCGAAAGCCUGAUGCAGCGACGCCGCGUGAGUGAUGAAGGUCUUCGGAUUGUAAAGCUCUGUCUUUUGGGACGAUAAUGACGGUACCAAAGGAGGAAGCCACGGCUAACUACGUGCCAGCAGCCGCGGUAAUACGUAGGUGGCGAGCGUUGUCCGGAUUUACUGGGCGUAAAGGGUGCGUAGGCGGAUGUUCAAGUGAGAUGUGAAAUACCCGGGCUUAACUUGGGUGCUGCAUUUCAAACUGGAUAUCUAGAGUGCAGGAGAGGAGAAUGGAAUUCCUAGUGUAGCGGUGAAAUGCGUAGAGAUUAGGAAGAACACCAGUGGCGAAGGCGAUUCUCUGGACUGUAACUGACGCUGAGGCACGAAAGCGUGGGUAGCAAACAGGAUUAGAUACCCUGGUAGUCCACGCCGUAAACGGUGAGUACUAGGUGUAGAAGGUAUCGACCCCUUCUGUGCCGCAGUAAACACAUUAAGUACUCCGCCUGGGAAGUACGAUCGCAAGAUUAAAAC
rnacentral:rRNA from 1 species